rnacentral:rRNA from 1 species
GAUCAUGGCUCAGGAUGAACGCUGGCGGCGUGCUUAACACAUGCAAGUCGAACGAAGCAACCAUGAAGCCUAGCGAUUGGUUGACUGAGUGGCGGACGGGUGAGUAACGCGUGGGUAACCUGCCUCAUACAGGGGGGACAACAGUUAGAAAUGACUGCUAAUACCGCAUAACCCGCUAGGGCCGCAUGGCCCGGACGGAAAAGGAGCAAUCCGGUAUGAGAUGGACCCGCGUCUGAUUAG